rnacentral:misc_RNA from 1 species
GGGUGCCAACCUAGACUUGAUUUUCUCAAUCUCCUUCGUCCCUACCUGGAAAGCCUUGGUUAACACGUGGUCUGGAACCGGCGGUGUGGCAGCAAAUAAGGUGGCGGCGAUGGCUUGAGUACCCGGAAGCUGGCUGUUGAAGCCGGCGAUCACUGCUGCGGGAACCUUGCCAUUGUUCUUCUGGAAAUGCACCAACCCUCUUGGGAAAACAAAUAUCUCGCCUUUCUUGAUGGUCCUUGAGACCAGAACAUUAGCAGUGGUGAUGAAGCCCACGUCGAGCUGGCC